UGUUUGGCACCUCGAUGUCGGCUCAUCACAUCCUGGGGCUGAAGUAGGUCCCAAGGGUAUGGCUGUUCGCCAUUUAAAGUGGUACGCGAGCUGGGUUUAGAACGUCGUGAGACAGUUCGGUCCCUAUCUGCCGUGGGCGCUGGAGAAUUGAGGGGGGCUGCUCCUAGUACGAGAGGACCGGAGUGGACGCAUCACUGGUGUUCGGGUUGUCAUGCCAAUGGCACUGCCCGGUAGCUAAAUGCGGAAGAGAUAAGUGCUGAAAGCAUCUAAGCACGAAACUUGCCCCGAGAUGAGUUCUCCCUGACUCCUUGAGAGUCCUGAAGGAACGUUGAAGACGACGACGUUGAUAGGCCGGGUGUGUAAGCGCAGCGAUGCGUUGAGCUAACCGGUACUAAUGAACCGUGAGGCUUAACCUUACAACGCCGAAG
rnacentral:rRNA from 1 species